rnacentral:rRNA from 1 species
ACGCGUGGAACCUUACCAGGUCUUGACAUCCCAUUGACCGCUAUGGAGACAUAGCUUUCCCUUCGGGGACAGUGGUGACAGGUGGUGCAUGGUUGUCGUCAGCUCGUGUCGUGAGAUGUUGGGUUAAGUCCCGCAACGAGCGCAACCCUUGUUCUUAGUUGCCAGCAUUAAGUUGGGCACUCUAAGGUGACUGCCGGUGACAAACCGGAGGAAGGUGGGGAUGACGUCAAAUCAUCAUGCCCCUUAUGACCUGGGCUACACACGUGCUACAAUGGAUGGUACAAAGGGCAGCAAAGCGGCGACGCCUAGCAAAUCCCAUAAAACCAUUCUCAGUUCGGAUUGUAGGCUGCAACUCGCCUACAUGAAGCUGGAAUCGCUAGUAAUCGCGGAUCAGCAUGCCGCGGUGAAUACGUUCCCGGGCCUUGCACUCACCGCCCGU